rnacentral:SRP_RNA from 1 species
GGCCAGAUGCCUUUCAAAGUAUUCUUCAAAACCCCGCCAGAGCCGGAAGGCAGCAACGGUAUGAAGUCUAAACUUGUGCUUAGGAUUAUCUGGCCUUU